rnacentral:rRNA from 1 species
UACGGGGGAGCAAGCGUUGUUCGGAUUUACUGGCGUAAAGGGCGCGUAGGCGGCCACCGCAAGUCGACUGUGAAAUCUCCGGGCUUAACCCGGAAAGGUCAGCCGAUACUGCGGGGCUAGAGUGCAGAAGGGGCAACUGGAUUCUCGGUGUAGCGGUGAAAUGCGUAGAUAUCGAGAGGAACACCUGCGGCGAAGGCGGGUUGCUGGGCUGACACUGACGCUGAGGCGCGAAAGCUAGGGGGAGCGAACGGG